rfam:Triticum urartu cultivar G1812 contig488426, whole genome shotgun sequence.
ACAAUACUCCCUCCGUCCGAAAAAGCUUGUCCUUCAAAUGGAUGUAUCUAGCACCAAGUUAGUGCUAGAUACAUCCAUUUGAUAAACAAGCUUGGGACAAGUUUUUUCGGAUGGAGGGAGUAUUUU